ensembl:misc_RNA 7SK 7SK RNA
GGAUGUGAGGGCGAUCUGGCUGCAACAUCUGUCACCCCAUGUAUCACCAGGGUCGAUUCGGCUGAUCUGGCUAGCUAGGCAGGUGUCCCCUUCCUCCCUCACUGCUCCAUGUGCAUCCUUCCCAAAGCUGCACCCUCGGUCGAAGAGGAUGACCUUCCCUGGUAAAGGAGGACCAUUCUUUGGUCAAGGGUAUAUAAGCAGUUGCGUUCCCCUGUUAGAACCUCCAAACAGCCUCUCAAGGUUCAUUUGUAGUAAAUCAUAGGGUAGUCAAGCUUCUAAUACUCAAGAUACAUCCAAAUGAUGUGCUGCAUGUGGAAGCCUGCCUUUAU